UUUGUCCAAUUUUGCCUUUUCCUGGUUGUCAGGAAAAGGCUUCUAGUUUCCAUUCAAAUAUUUUUGCUAGUGAGAUUGGAGAAAUGAAGGCAGAGGUCACCAAACUACAUAAAAAAUUGUUUGAACAAGAAAAGAAGUUGCAAAACACCAUGAAGCUUUUGCAGCUGAGCAAGCGCCAGGAAAAAGUCAUCUUUGAUCAAUUGGUCGUAACCCACAAAAUCCUUCGGAAGGCCAGAGGAAACCUGGAGCUUAGGCCUGGGGGAGCCCAUCCAGGAACAUGCAGUCCCAGCAGACCAGGCUCCUGAGAAGAACUUUCAGCCAAUAAAGCUUGUGCUUCCCCCACCGA
rnacentral:lncRNA from 1 species